GGGAGCCCGGAGAUGGGCACUGAGACAAGGGCCCAGGCCCUACGGGGCGCAGCAGUCGCGAAAACUCCGCAAUGCGCGAAAGCGUGACGGGGCUACCCCGAGUGCCGUCCGCUGAGGAUGGCUUUUCCCCGGUGUAAUGAGCCGAGGGAAUAAGGAGAGGGCAAGACUGGUGUCAGCCGCCGCGGUAAUACCAGCUCUCCGAGUGGUAGGGAUUAUUUGGCUUAAAGCGUCCGUAGCUCGUUUGGAAAGUCUUCCGUUAAAUCCAGCGAUCCCAUCGUUGGACUGCAGAAGAUACUGCUAGACUAGGAGGCGGGAGAAGUCGACGGUAUUUCUGGGGUAGGAGUGAAAUCCUAUAAUCCUAGGAGGACCACCAGUGGCGAAGGCGGUCGACUAGAACGCGCUCGACGGUGAGGGACGAAAGCUGGGGGAGCGAACCGGAUUAGAUACCCGGGUAGUCCCAGCUGUAAACGAUGCAGGCUAGGUGUCGGAGCGGCUACGAGCCGCUUCAGUGCCGCAAGGAAACUGUUAAGCCUGCCGCCUGGG
rnacentral:rRNA from 1 species